UGGGGAAUAUUGGACAAUGGGCGAAAGCCUGAUCCAGCCAUGCCGCGUGUGUGAAGAAGGUCUUCGGAUUGUAAAGCACUUUAAGUUGGGAGGAAGGGCAGUAAGCGAAUACCUUGCUGUUUUGACGUUACCGACAGAAUAAGCACCGGCUAACUCUGUGCCAGCAGCCGCGGUAAUACAGAGGGUGCAAGCGUUAAUCGGAAUUACUGGGCGUAAAGCGCGCGUAGGUGGUUCGUUAAGUUGAAUGUGAAAGCCCCGGGCUCAACCUGGGAACUGCAUCCAAAACUGGCGAGCUAGAGUAGGGCAGAGGGUGGUGGAAUUUCCUGUGUAGCGGUGAAAUGCGUAGAUAUAGGAAGGAACACCAGUGGCGAAGUCGACCACCUGGGCUCAUACUGACACUGAGGUGCGAAAGCGUGGGGAGCAAACAGG
rnacentral:rRNA from 1 species